rnacentral:rRNA from 1 species
UGAGUAACACGUAUCCAACCUGCCGUCUACUCUUGGACAGCCUUCUGAAAGGAAGAUUAAUACAAGAUGGCAUCAUGAGUCCACAUAUUCACAUGAUUAAAGGUAUUCCGGUAGACGAUGGGGAUGCGUUCCAUUAGAUAGUAGGCGGGGUAACGGCCCACCAAGCUUCGAUGGAUAGGGGUUCUGAGAGGAAGGUCCCCCACAUUGGAACUGAGACACGGUCCAA